AUGAACGCUGGCGGCGUGCCUCAUCCAUGCAAGUCGCGCGCACGGACGAGAAGCUUGCUUCUCUGAUGUUAGCGGCGGACGGGUGAGUAACACGUGGAUAACCUACCUAUAAGACUGGGAUAACUUCGGGAAACCGGAACUAAUACCGGAUGAUAUUUUGAACCGCAUGGUUCAAAAGUGAAAGACGGUCUUGCUGUCACUUAUAGAUGGAUCCGCGCUGCAUUAGCUAGUUGGUAAGGUAACGGCUUACCAAGGCAACGAUGCAUAGCCGACCUGAGAGGGUGAUCGGCCACACUGGAACUGAGACACGGUCCAGACUCCUACGGGAGGCAGCAGUAGGGAAUCUUCCGCAAUGGGCGAAAGCCUGACGGAGCAACGCCGCGUGAGUGAUGAAGGUCUUCGGAUCGUAAAACUCUGUUAUUAGGGAAGAACAUAUGUGUAAGUAACUGUGCACAUCUUGACGGUACCUAAUCAGAAAGCCACGGCUAACUACGUG
rnacentral:rRNA from 1 species